CGAACGCUGGCGGCGUGCUUAACACAUGCAAGUCGAGCGGAAAGGCCCUUCGGGGUACUCGAGCGGCGAACGGGUGAGUAACACGUGAGCAACCUGCCCUCAGCUCCGGGAUAGCUCCACGAAAGUGGAAUUAAUACCGGAUAUGACCACAGCCGACAUCAGCUGUGGUGGAAAGGAUUUCCGGCUGAGGAUGGGCUCGCGGCCUAUCAGCUAGUUGGUGGGGUAACGGCCUACCAAGGCGACGACGGGUAGCCGGCUUGAGAGGGCGACCGGCCACACUGGGACUGAGACACGGCCCAGGAUCCUACGGGAGGCAGCAUUUGG
rnacentral:rRNA from 1 species